UGCAGUCCAUGGGGUUGCAAAGAGUCGGACACGACUGAGCGACUGAACUGAACUGAAAUUGAGUCUUAUUUCUGUUUAAUUUGCUUUAUGUAUGUCUGUGUUUUCUGUGAAGACAAGAUGACCAGCCAGCGUGAAGGAGCCCAUGCUUUUGACAGUUCUCGUCUCAAAUAAAUGCAAUAAAAUCUUGAUGAAAUAGAAACCAAACUUUAAGAUAUUUUUAUUCUUGUUUGUAAAAUAAACUAAUCAUAAUACUUCAAUCCCUAAUACAUAUCAACCUAAAGAAUAAAAUGGCCAGUUACUGUACCAGCAAAAUGAGUUUUACUUGGGAAUGGCAGAGGAAUUGCAUAAUCGGCAUGGAAACUGUGGCAAACCAUAAGCAAUCCUGGAGAAGAAAGGAGAGGAGUGCAACUUUAUGAAGAUGCCCCGGAAGUUGGGAGGGUUUGCUUUGAAGGAAAGUUCUUUGGAGUAAAUCACGAGUUCAGGUCACUCCUUCCAGAGGACUUUAAAUGCAGGAAAACAACUGAUUGCUGAAGAGAGAUCUGGAUUGGUGGUUAUGUCACAGUAUUGCUACCUUAAUUUUUUAAAUAUAUUUUGUGUUUAUCAAUGUUAUGCAUCCUUAUAGUUUAAAAAGUCAUUAGCUUUAGCAAAGUUUGUCAUCAAAAGCAGUAAUGUCUCAUUCUCCAUUCAUCACCAUUUUUCUUCCCACAAAAGCAGUUUAAUAUAUUUUGCUGAUUUUUCAGAUAUUUUCUUCUAUGGCACUAAGUAUAGUAUGUUUUGUAUGACUACUUCUUGAUUUUUCAAUUUUAGUUAUUAUCUGUUGACAUCCCACUAUGGAAGAUGAGAUUUUAGCCUCUUUCCUUCCUUUGUCUCUACUACAUAACCACUUUUCCUAUUCCCUGUCCUUCCAAGAUAAUUAUAUUAUAAUCAAUAUUCAGUUUUUCCAUUAUUGCAACUAUGUGAAGUGCUGGUCACAGUUGAACCUCUAGUAAAAUAAGACAAUUUUU